rnacentral:lncRNA from 1 species
UAGAAAUUUACUCAGUCUUUGGAUCUGAAAACUAGUAAGAUUGUUUCUUUGAAAUGACUUAUAUAAUCAGCAUAUGCCAGUUAUGUUAUAGUACACAGAAGUAUAGCCAUAGCUUCAUGGCUUUGGUAAGAGUAGUUAAGACACAAGGUCACCUGUGUCCACAAUGACAGCUCAAGAUUAUAAUCUUACCAUAAUAGGCAUCACCCAAUAAAACUUACCAAAUCUUUAGAAAGGUAAUGUGAGGUACAGAAACUCUGCAUCGCUUCCUUUUAACACUGUCUUUGGC